rnacentral:rRNA from 1 species
GAUCCUGGCUCAGGAUGAACGCUGGCUACAGGCUUAACACAUGCAAGUCGAGGGGAAACGAUAUUGGAAGCUUGCUUCCGAUAGGCGUCGACCGGCGCACGGGUGAGUAACGCGUAUCCAACCUGCCCAUCACUUGGGAAUAACCUUGCGAAAGUAAGACUAAUGCCCAAUGACAUUUAUAGAAGGCAUCUGAAAUGAAUUUAAAGAUUUAUCGGUGAUGGAUGGGGAUGCGU